CAAUAAGCGGAGGAAAAGAAACUAACAAGGAUUCCCCUAGUAACGGCGAGUGAAGCGGGAUGAGCUCAAAUUUAAAAUCUGGCUGGUUUACUAGUCCGAAUUGUAGUUUAAAGAAGCGUUUUCGGUGGCAGUCUCGGUAUAAAUCCUUUGGAAUAGGGUAUCAUAGAGGGUGAGAAUCCCGUCUUUGACUGAGAAUUUGCUACUAUGUGAUACGUUUUCAAAGAGUCGAGUUGUUUGGGAAUGCAGCUCAAAAUGGGUGGUAAAUUUCAUCUAAAGCUAAAUAUUGGCGAGAGACCGAUAGCGAACAAGUACCGUGAGGGAAAGAUGAAAAGAACUUUGAAAAGAGAGUUAAACAGUGCGUGAAAUUGUUGAAAGGGAAACGCUUGAAACCAGUCAUGUAGUUGGAAAAUCAGUGUUCAAUUGGGGGGAAUGGGGGAGGUGUGGACCGCAAGGCUGCUCUUUUCUAUAUCUCUUUUGUUGGGCAUGCACUUUUUCUUCCGCAGGUCAACAUCAGUUUCUUCUGCUGGACAAAACUCUUGAGAAGGUAGCAGCUUAGGCUGUGUUAUAGCUCUGGAGCGAUACAGUGGAGGGGACUGAGGUUUUCGCAGCAUGUGCUCUCGGGCAAGGCCAAUUGGGUGCUAUGGGAUCGUUCGGGGUACAAUACAUGUAUUUUGCUUCGUGUCUUUUCUAUACUCGUUCAAUUGAGCUCUUCCAUGCUUAGGAUGUUGACUUAAUGGUUUUAAUCGACCCGUCUUGAAACACGGACCAAGGAGUCUAACAUAUAUGCAAGUGUUUGGGUGGCAAACCCAUGCGCGUAAUGAAAGUGAACGUAGGUGCCAUCCGCAAGGUGCAGCAUCGACCGAUCUUGAUAUUUUUGGAUAGAUUUGAGUAAGAGCAUAUAUGCUGGGACCCGAAAGAUGGUGAACUAUGCCUGAAUAGGGUGAAGCCAGAGGAAACUCUGGUGGAGGCUCGUAGCGAUUCUGACGUGCAAAUCGAUCGUCAAAUUUGGGUAUAGGGGCGAAAGACUAAUCGAACCAUCUAGUAGCUGGUC
rnacentral:rRNA from 1 species